GAUUGAUAAAUUAUCUGGAUAAACCACAUGCUGAAAUGCUUUGCCUGAUUGUUAUUCAUAUAGAUUGAAUUGUGCAUUGAAUUUCUUCAGAGAUAAAAGUCCUACUUAAGGUAUCAUAUAUUAUUCAUGAACUACAUACACUGAAUGAAGGUCAGUAAAACCUGACAGAAAAGCUUGUGCUCCAAUGUUCAAUAAAUUAAAAACCGAACAACGGUUGUAUAAUUCAAAA
rnacentral:lncRNA from 1 species